UCCCUCUUAGCUCAGUUGGUAGAGCGCGUCACUAGUAUGCAUUGACUUAGAUGUCUAUGACGAGGUCAGUCGUUCAAGUCGGCUAGAGGGAA